rnacentral:lncRNA from 1 species
ACUCAGAAUGGAGAGAAGGACCUGGUCACCCUCAGACCUGCCGAUACAGGGCGUAAGCCUGACUGGAAGGACACCAGAGGAGGAGUGAACAUCACUGAAGAUAAGUCUGAGAACCCAGCAGACUGGAGAUCUAAACUGAAGCCAGUGGCCAACAAAGACUCCAACCAGGGUGGUCCUAAGAAAUUGAUGGACAGCUCCAAGGUGACGAGCAACAUAGCCCUGAGCCCAGCACGGGGGGAGAAGUCGGCUUCAUCCAUUGCCACGCCGGCAAAUAAGGACCCUGGUAAGAUGGGUUAUUAACCUAGUACGGAGGGAACUUUGCCUACCAUUUCUCCAGCCAUCCAGG